rnacentral:rRNA from 1 species
GACGAACGCUGGCGGCGUGCUUAACACAUGCAAGUCGAACGGAAAGGCCCUGCUUUUGUGGGGUGCUCGAGUGGCGAACGGGUGAGUAACACGUGAGUAACCUGCCCUUGACUUUGGGAUAACUUCAGGAAACUGGGGCUAAUACCGGAUAGGAGCUCCUGCUGCAUGGUGGGGGUUGGAAAGUUUCGGCGGUUGGGGAUGGACUCGCGGCUUAUCAGCUUGUUGGUGGGGUAGUGGCUUACCAAGGCUUUGACGGGUAGCCGGCCUGAGAGGGUGACCGGCCACAUUGGGACUGAGAUACGGCCCAGACGCCUACGGGAGGCAGCAGUGGGGAAUAUUGAACAAUGGGCGGAAGCCUGAUGCAGCAACGCCGCGUGCGGGAUGACGGCCUUCGGGUUGUAAACCGCUUUCGCCUGUGACGAAGCGUGAGUGACGGUAAUGGGUAAAGAAGCACCGGCUAACUACGUG